rnacentral:rRNA from 1 species
UACGAAGGGGGCUAGCGUUGCUCGGAAUUACUGGGCGUAAAGGGCGCGUAGGCGGACAGUUUAGUCAGAGGUGAAAGCCCAGGGCUCAACCUUGGAAUUGCCUUUGAUACUGGCUGUCUUGAGUUCGGGAGAGGUGAGUGGAAUGCCGAGUGUAGAGGUGAAAUUCGUAGAUAUUAGGAAGAACACCAGUGGCGAAGGCGGCUCACUGGUCCGGUACUGACGCUGAGGUGCGAAAGCGUGGGGAGCAAACAGG